rnacentral:rRNA from 1 species
CUCCCAGACUCCUACGGGAGGCAGCAGUGAGGAAUAUUGGUCAAUGGGCGGAAGCCUGAACCAGCCAAGUCGCGUGAGGGAAGAAGGCCCUGCGGGUCGCAGACCUCUUUGGACGGGGAGCAAGGCCGCCGACGUGUCGGCGGAAGGAGAGUACCCGUAGAACAAGCAUCGGCUAACUCCGUGCCAGCAGCCGCGGUAAUACGGAGGAUGCGAGCGUUAUCCGGAUUUACUGGGUGUAAAGGGAGCGUAGACGGCAGUGCAAGUCUGAAGUGAAAGGCGGGGGCCCAACCCCCGGACUGCUUUGGAAACUGUGCUGCUGGAGUGCAGGAGAGGCAAGUGGAAUUCCUAGUGUAGCGGUGAAAUGCGUAGAUAUUAGGAGGAACACCAGUGGCGAAGGCGGCUUACUGGACUGUAACUGACGUUGAGGCUCGAAAGCGUGGGGAGCAAACAGGAUUAGAUACCCCAGUA